rnacentral:rRNA from 1 species
GGCGUCCGAGUUGUAAUUUGUAGAGGAUGCUAUUGGGUUGCCACCGGUCUAAGUUCCUUGGAACAGGACGUCACAGAGGGUGAGAAUCCCGUAUGUGACCGGCCAGGCGCCUUCUGUAUAGCUCCUUCGACGAGUCGGGUUGUUUGGGAAUGCAGCCCUAAAUGGGAGGUAAAUUUCUUCUAAAGCUAAAUACCGGCCAGAGACCGAUAGCGCACAAGUAGAGUGAUCGAAAGAUGAAAAGCACUUUGGAAAGAGAGUUAAAAAGCACGUGAAAUUGUUGAAAGGGAAGCGCUUGCAAUCAGUCUCGACGGCGGCUGUUCGGCCUCUCUUCUGAGUGGUUUAUUCAGUCGCCGCCGGGCCAGCAUCAGUUUUGGCGGCCGGAUAAAGGCGUGGGGAAUGUAGCUCCUCCGGGAGUGUUAUAGCCCCGCGUGCAAUACGGCCCGCCGGGACUGAGGUCCGCGCUUCGGCUAGGAUGCUGGCGAAAUGGUUGUAAGCGGCCCGUCUUGAAACACGGACCAAGGAGUCUAACAUCUACGCGAGUGUUUGGGUGUCAAACCCGUGCGCGCAAUGAAAGUGAACGGAGGUGGGAACCGCAAGGUGCACCAUCGACCGAUCCUGAUGUCUUCGGAUGGAUUUGAGUAAGAGCGUAGCUGUUGGGACCCGAAAGAUGGUGAACUAUGCCUGAAUAGGGUGAAGCCAGAGGAAACUCUGGUGGAGGCUCGCAGCGGUUCUGACG